UUUUCUUGGAAAUUGCUGUCACAUUUUUCCUGACAUCCUAUUGAAUUUUUAAUCCGAAUUGAAUAAAGAUUACAAGACGAUUGUCAUAUGAAAAACGCCAGAAAGGAUUUAUGCGUUAUCCUCCGGAUUUUGAAACUUCAGUUGAAGUGGAUUUUAAUAUAUCAAUCAGAUGAUAACAUAGCUAAACAAUAUGAUUCAGACGACGGUGAAUUUUGUUUAAACAGAUUUAUCCCGAAGACAAAUAAAGGAUGUAAAUACCAACUGAGGUCAGAAGAGACAUGGAAAGAGUUUAAAGAGGAAGAUUUGGAUAUUCCCCUUCUCACACCAAAACAAGGUUAUCCUCAAAAAUCAAAGCCUAUUUCCCUACAAUUUUAUCCUCGCUAUCUUUUUGCGAAAUGUCGAUGUUGAAAGCAUGUUUGAUCUGCUAAAUUCCUGUUAACCAAAGGUACAAUUAAAGUUUGCUAACCAAAAUCGUGGUAAAAGUAUGUUAUAUUUGGAGGAUCCUCACCAUCAUUGCAAACUUAUACAAAUACAAGAAACUUAUAUUGGAUCAGCUAUAACAUCCAAAUUCCGAAAAUGAGGGAAUACAAAAAAUGCCGUCCAUUUGCUUGUCAUAAGAGUGGUUUAUUUCUCUAAUCAGGUGUUUGUAUACAGGUUCUGAAAGAGGAAACCACCCCUAGAGUUGCGAUUGUACUGGUUCUGAAAGAGGAAACCACCCCAGAGUUGCGAUUGUACUGUGGAAUUAUAUAUGGCUAUAGAAUAUAAACAUCAUUUGAUACGGCAAAAAUGUACCUCAUAGAAAUAACGGUUCUAGACCCUAGGUCCCUUAGGACGAAAUCCAACAAACGCUGAGUAAACAAAACGCUGAUAAAAUAUGAAAUAAAUACCUUAUUCUACGCAUAACUCAAUAUGUCUAACAACUUCGUAUCUGGUGUGACUACUACGGACUACUUCUCUUGCGAUCUUCCACACAAAGGGUCAAAAUUUUAAAUUAUUUGCGAACUUUCAAUAAAUAAAUAUUUCUUUGAGCUUUA